GUUUGAUAACCGGGAUCCUGAAUCCCGAAAGGUGAGUACUGGGAUCUGUGUCCUGGGUGCUGGUCCAAGCACUCAGUGCCUUUACUCUCUCCUGUCUGAUGGACAGUAGUUCCGUGUGGCACAAUUUGUGGCGAGGCAAGGGAAGAAGGCGAGAAGAAAACUGCACGGGAUCUGUGGAGGUCUUCCCAUAGGCCUACACUAGGGCUGUUUACCACUGGAAGCCAGGGAAAGGGGGAGACUGGCCUGGAACCGUUGAAGAUCUGCCUGCAGGUCUGCUGUAGGGCUUGAGAUUACUGGAAGCAAAGAAACAAGGAGGAAAUUGCCCCUGAUCAGUAUAGACUGGUCCACAGAUCUCAUGAGUUAAUAGAUCUACUUUAGGGUAUAUCACCAAUCAAGAGAAGGAAAGAGGAGGGAACUGCCUUGAUCAUUACAGGUUGGUAUGAGGGUGGGGACCUUUGGGAGUGGUGACAAGAGUAGGUCCAGUAAAAAUCAA
rnacentral:lncRNA from 1 species